CUGAGUGAGGGCCUCUGGUCCGACCUCCAACCCUUUGUGAUUAAACCAAUGUUGCCUCGGGGGUGACUCGGGCCCAGCUCGAGAACCCCCGGUGGACCCUAUCAAAACACUGCAUCUAUGCGUCGGAUCAUACAAGUUUAAUUUGAUUA
rnacentral:misc_RNA from 1 species